GAGUUCCCCGACUGAAAAUAAAAUUUAUCACACCGUCAUAACGUGUCACUACGGCGUAAGAAUAGCCAGUUACGCAAGACGUCAGCUUUGCAUUUAUUACUUGCGGCCACGCAUCAACCGAAGCAUUAAAAAAUGCCAAAAUUCAAGACCAAACAUUUUCAUCACUUUUCCGAACCAUGGAAAACCCGACGUCAAACGUAUAACGACCAUGCGAGAAAUAGGGCAUUAAAAUAUACAAUCGGUCAAGCUUCGCGAGGUUUGUCAGCGACUGGAAAUCGAUAUAGUCCGUACUCGCAUGAAACGAAGGAAGCUAAUAAUGGUCACGGAUUACAAAAUGAAAAUACCACACAUUGGCAGUAUUUUACCUUCACCCGCUUACAAACUUUGAGCGUAAUGAAUAACAACGAUGAUCUUAUAGCUGAAUUACAUGUGAAGAAAGAUGAGUUUGAUCAAUUAUUAAAUGGUGAUUUUAGACCAGACCAUUUUGUACUCGUAGUACAAAUCUUGGCCAAGAUUUCUCGAGCUAACUUUACGAAAAUUUUAUCAAGCAUACUUUGCUGUUCUUGUUCCCCUACAUUUAUUAAAAACUUGGAAAGUUAUUUGACUAAAUUGCCAUUUGAGACUAAAGAAGAUAAGUUACAAAAUAAAUUUUACUGGAAUGAUAUAAAUCUUUUUUGGAGUAAUCUGGUUGAAUUUUUCCAAAAAUUUACUGAACUUUUUCCUCGCAAAGCUCGUGAUGAGUUAACCUCAGUGCUGGAUAAAACGAAUUUGAUCAUAGCAACCACUGAAAUGAAUCAAGACUGUAGAAUUGCUGCCAGUAUAAAAGAAAGAACUUCGAAAAUUUGUCGCAAAUUGAAGGUAAAAAUCCCUAAACUUGAGACCAAAGAGAAGGUUUUUGCAACGUCAUCUGUGCAAGAGUUGCAAGAUCCUCUGGAAGAUUUUAGAACGUUGAGCAUCAUACCAACUAUUCAGGAUGUGUUUAAUGAGAAGCCUUUUAUUAGGCCGAAUAAACUCGUAGGAGCUUACGAUUCGGUUGAGCAUUACCUGGAUGUGCAAUUUCGUUUGUUGCGUGAAGAUUUCAUGGCACCCUUGCGAAAUGGCAUACAUGAAUAUUUGAAUGGAUCCAAAAAAUAUAGUAAAACUGAUGUGAGGGUUUACAGAAAAGUAACAAUGAUGAAUCCUGAAGUAGCAGGCAACAACAUCGGUGUUAUGGUAUCAUUUGGAAUAUUAAAAUUCAUAAACUGGGACACUAGUAAAAGAUUUCAGUUUGGUGGUUUAGUAUGCUUAAGCAGCGAUAAUUUCAGCUCAAUUAUAUUUGCAACUAUUGCUAAUCGAGAUAAAGAGUUGUUACAGAGGGGAACUGUGUUGAUUAAACCGUGCAAAAAAACCGCCAUCACUCACGACCAUUAUCAUUCUAAUUGGGUUAUGCUGGAGUCUAAAAUAUAUUUUGAACCAUAUCUGGCAGUGCUAAAUGCAAUGUGCCAAAUGAAUGAAAAAAAUUUUCCAAUGAGGAAGUAUUUGGUCGAUGCAGAUACAACUAUUUCGCUACCUCAUUAUUUCAAAACUGAUGCAGUACUAAAGUAUAAGGGCUUCUCACUGCAAGUGGGAGAUUACGCCACUUGGCCAACUACCAAACAACUGCGGUUAGAUGAAACGCAGUACGAAGCAUUCAAAUCUGGUCUUUCUCAAGAAAUUGCAAUUAUACAAGGACCGCCAGGAACAGGCAAGACGUUUAUUGCUCUAGAAAUAAUUCGAACUUUGCUAGAGAACAAGGAACAAUGGAGAUGUAAUGGGCCAAUCGUCAUUGUCUGCUUGACAAAUCAUGCCCUUGAUCAAUUCCUUGAAGGUGUUACGAAACAUACAACUUCGAUAGUUCGUGUCGGCAGUCGAUCAAAAAAUGAAGCUCUGUCACAGUAUACACUUGGAAAUAAACGAGAAGCACGACCACGCAGAAAUUGGUGUCAUGACAAGUGGCACCAAGUGAAGAUAAUCUUAUUUAACAUGAAGAGAACCCGUAAAGUAUUACAGGACUUGUCUAAAAGAGAUGCCAUUGUAUCUCCACACCUUCUAUAUGCCUAUUGCCAUGACGAAACGUUGCAAGACAUGGAGAAUGUUAACGAAUUGUUCCAAUGGUUAUUGACACAUACUGACAAUUCAAUGAAAAUAUGUCAGACGCAGAGUACAAAUACUGACACAGAAAUGGAAAUUGACGGUAAUAGCGAAUUUGAAGAGCCCAUUUUUCCUUUGGAAAUCGUUGAUAAAGAAAUUGCUGAGAUUGACGCAAACAUGAACGAGUACAGACGAACUACACACACACAAAACAGACCAGUAUUUCCACGACAUGAAGUUGUUCAAUUAAAACAUCGUGCUGACACCUUGAAGUUACAACGGUCCGACCUACAGCGGAACCUGACUCAGCAUCCUCUAUUGAUUCGAGAUAACGAAAACUUUCUGCCGAGUUUACCUUGGCAAAAGUACUGGGAAUGGGUAGAACUGAGUUAUGAAAAUGCCAAACAGAAAUUAACUGAUUUGGAAGAAGAGUAUCAUUCAGCAAAUGAAGAGUUGAAUGAAGUUAAGCAAAUACUUGAUUUGUCGAUACUUCGAGAGCACGAUGUUAUUGGGUUUACUACGACAUGUGCAGCGAGAUUAUAUGCUUCUCUGCGUGCUCUGCGUCCGCCGAUAGUACUGGUGGAGGAGGCAGCUGAAAUUCUGGAAUCACAUGUCGUUUGCUCUUUGACCCAAAAUUGCCAGCAUCUUAUCCUCAUUGGGGAUCAUAAACAACUGCGACCAAAGGUGGCUGUUCACAAGUUGGGUUCAAAAUACAAUUUCAAUAUAUCUCUUUUUGAAAGAAUGGUCAACAACAGAGGAAGUUGCACACAGUUAGGGCAUCAGCAUCGUAUGCGACCGGAAAUUGCCAGACUAAUCUGUCCUUCCGUGUAUGAGAUUCUCCACAACCAUGAAUGCGUUUUGGAAUAUCCCCCUGUAAUGGGUUUAGAGAAAAAUGUUUUUUUCAUAACGCAUGAUAACCCAGAGGCACCACACGACAACCAAGAGAGUUGGAUAAAUCCACACGAAGCCAAAUUUCUAGUAGCAUUUGCUAGACAUCUGAUAUUGCAAGGCUAUAAAAGUACAGGAAUCACUAUACUCUGUACCUAUGCGGGACAACUUUUCACACUUAUCAAGGAGAGAAAUUGUCAUGAGAUUCUUAAAGCAGUGCGCAUAACCACAAUUGACAAUUUUCAAGGAGAGGAGAACAGAAUUAUUCUUCUUUCAUUAGUUCGCAACAACAGCAAAGGAAAUAUUGGAUUUCUGAAAGAAGAGAACAGAGUUUGUGUUGCACUAUCUCGUGCCCGUGAAGGCCUUUAUAUCAUGGGGAACAUGGACAAUCUUACGAAUAAAAAUAAUAUUUGGCCAAAAAUUAAACAAGUUUUAGAAAAUGACAAUGCAAUAGGUGAUACACUCGAAUUACGAUGCAAGUAUCAUUCUGAUACAUUAAUAAAGAUACGAAACGGAAGCGAUUUUGUGGAACAAUGCCCGGAAGGGGGAUGCUUACAAAAAUGUAAUACUGAUUUACCGUGUGGACAUUCUUGUACCAGCAUUUGUCAUACCCUUGACAGAGAGCAUUUCAAUUUCAUGUGCAAACAGCGUUGCGUUAAAAAGUGUCCGGAUGAUCAUCCUUGUCCACUUUUAUGUUACCAAGGAUGCAAGCCGUGUCUAGUUGCUGUUGAACGCCAAUUGAAAUGCGGUCAUGCUGUUUUUAUCUCGUGUGGGACAGACCCUGAUACAUACCAAUGUCCUGUCAAAGUCGAUGUUACCCUACCUCAUUGCAAUCAUACUACUGAAAAAAGCUGUUAUAUGCCUCUGGAUAAGGUCCCAUGCCCAUAUCCCUGUAAAAUUCGUUUAGCAUGUGGACAUUCUUGUGAACAAAAAUGUCAUGCUAACGAUGAUCCUGAUCAUCUGGAGCACUUUUGUCAUAAGCCCUGUUCAAAAAGGAACAGCCACUGUACUGCCGAUCAUCCGUGCAAAUUGAAGUGUUAUGAGAAAUGUAUAGCAUGUCCUAUUAAUGUAUCAAAAAUACGAUCUUGCGGACAUGAACUUAAUUGCAAAUGCUCGGAUGAUGUAGAAAAACUCGUAUGCUAUAAACGAAUAAAAUUUGAGAGAAUCUGUGGACACAAAGCUACAGUAAGAUGCUUCCGGAAGGAUGACGAAGAAUGUAAUGAAGAGGUACUGAAACUAAGUGCAUGUGGUCACCAAAUAAAAGUGAAAUGUUGCCAAACACCAAAUUCUUCUCUGUGUGGCAAUAAAUGUAAACUUAAUUUAAAAUGUGGCCAUCCCUGCACUACUCUAUGUAAAGACCCAUGUACAAACGAAUGCAAGGCCCCUGUCCUUCAAACGAAACAUGGGCUUUGUGGACAUCUCAUUCCCGUGCCUUGCUUCUUAAAAGAAACUGAAGCCAAGUCUCCAGCACUACUACAGUAUUGCAAGGAACCAUGCAAACAUGAAUUAUCUUGUGGCCACUUUUGCCAAGGCAAUUGUUGGUCCUGCAAACAGGGACGUAUACACAAACCUUGCCAAGAAAAAUGUGGCAAGACUCUCAUUUGUGGACAUAGGUGCGAUGUGCCUUGCAGUCUCGAAUGUCCACCGUGUCAAAAACCUUGCGAAAUGAAAUGCAAACACAGUAGAUGUGACAGAAAGUGUGGAGAAACCUGUAUACCAUGUAGAGAAACCUGUGCAGCGCGAUGUAAACAUACAAUUUGUCUCAAACGAUGCUUUGAAUUGUGCAACAGAAGACCAUGUGAGAAACAAUGUUCUGAACGCUUGAAGUGUAAGCAUCGUUGCAUUGGCUUCUGCGGCGAACCAUGCCCACCAUUAUGCAAAAUCUGCAACAAAAAAGAACUAAUCGAUGAAUUUUUUCUCGGGUAUGAAGAUGAACCAAAUGCCAGAUUUGUGUUUCUUGAAGAUUGUGGGCACUGCAUAGAGAAUAAGGGGCUUCUAAAUUGGAUGUCAGCAAACACUCAAACAGUUCAAGUGAAGACAUGCCCGCGAUGCAGCACUCCUAUAAAUAAAUGCACUCGAAUAUUAAACGAAAUUAAAACGCAUCUGAAAGAUGUUCAGCUUGUAAAGGCAAAAAUAUUUGGGGAUCACACCAACUUACAAAAUCAACAAUUCUUACUUGUCACCAGAAUUAAACACAUGUACGAGAACCCAGUGAUAAAAGACAGAAAUCACGCACUCCAUUUUUCCUGUCAAUUCGGGAUUCCAGCGGCGGGGCGCUUCAUUGGCCUGCUAAUAAUUUCGCCAUUUUGCAAAAAUUGAUAAGUAAAUUUUUCUUGUACUGUCCAAAUGUGAGUCGAAAUACACUUGAAAUUUUAAAAAGCUUCGUUAGUCAUCUCCCAUAGAGAAAAAUAACCGAACAUCAACAUUUCGCUUAAAAAUUAUCGUAUUUGAUUGAUUUACAAAAUAAAAAUAUUUGUAUUUUUCCUGAUCUUUCAUAUGGCAGUAUUUGAAAAACCCGGUUUCCACUUUGAACCGACAUGAGAAAUAUUUUUUCUCCAUUAUCUGAUUUAAUUAUUGACCUUUUUUCGGUGUUACUUAAAUAUUUAGCUGUAUAAUUAUUGAUUGCUUUCAGUUUUUAACCAUUUGUAUACGAUAAUAGUACGAAGCAAAUAAUUAUAAUCAACUAUUUUCAUGUGAACCAAUAACAAAAAACUAUGUUACUAUUUGUGCACGGUAUAACCCGAGGUGGUCAGCGGUGGUCGUUGGAGGUGGUUGGCGGUGGUUGGUGGUGGACGAGAAGGAGGACGAGGUAGAUGAGGAUUUGUGCUCGAGUUUGCUGAAAUCAUG
rnacentral:misc_RNA from 1 species